GCACAGGUGCUGCAUGGCUGUCGUCAGCUCGUGUCGUGAGAUGUCGGUUAAGUCCGCUAACGGGCGCAACCCUCACUGUGUGUUAUAUGUGUCACACGGGACCGCCGGUCUUAAGCCGGAGGAAGGUGGGGAUGACGGUCAAGUCAGCAUGGCCUUUAUAUCCUGGGCUACACACACGCUACAAUGGCCAACACAAUAGGUUGCUAAGCCGCGAGGUGGAGCCAAUCCAUAAAGUUGGUCUCAGUUCAGAUUGUAGGCUGCAACCCGCCUGCAUGAAGAUGGAGUUGCUAGUAACCGCAGGUCAGCUAUACUGCGGUGAAUACGUUCCCGGGGCUU
rnacentral:rRNA from 1 species